AUUGAACGCUGGCGGCAUACCUAACACAUGCAAGUCGAACGAGUGGCGGACGGGUGAGUAAUGUCUGGGAACAUGCCCGCUGGAGGGGGAUAACUACUCGAAACGGUAGCUAAUACCGCAUACCAUCGGAUGUGCCCAGAUGGGAUUAGCUAGUAGGUGGGGUAACGGCUCACGUAGGCGACGAUCCCUAGCUGGUCUGAGAGGAUGACCAGCCAAACUGGAACGAAGACACGGACCAGACGCCUACGGGAGGCAGCAUUGGGGAAUAUUGCACAAGGGGCGCAAGCCUGAUGCAGCCAUGCCGCGUGGAUGAAGAAGGCCUUCGGGUUGUAAAGUACUUUAAGCGAGGAGGCGUUACUCGCAGAAGAAGCACCGGCUAACUCCGUGCCAGCAGCCGCGGUAAUUC
rnacentral:rRNA from 1 species